rnacentral:tRNA from 1 species
CGCAGAGUUGAGCAGUCUGGUAGCUCGUCGGACUCAUGUUCCGAUCGUCAUGGGUUCAAAUCCCAUCUCUGCAA